rnacentral:rRNA from 1 species
GUGGGGAGCAAACAGGCUUAGAUACCCUGGUAGUCCACCCCGUAAACGUUGGGAACUAGUUGUGGGGUCCAUUCCACGGAUUUCCGUGACGCAGCUAACGCAUUAAGUUCCCCGCCUGGGGAGUACGGCCGCAAGGCUAAAACUCAAAGGAAUUGACGGGGACCCGCACAAGCGGCGGAGCAUGCGGAUUAAUUCGAUGCAACGCGAAGAACCUUACCAAGGCUUGACAUAUAGAGGAAACGUCUGGAAACAGUCGCCCCGCAAGGUCUCUAUACAGGUGGUGCAUGGUUGUCGUCAGCUCGUGUCGUGAGAUGUUGGGUUAAGUCCCGCAACGAGCGCAACCCUCGUUCUAUGUUGCCAGCACGUAAUGGUGGGAACUCAUGGGAUACUGCCGGGGUCAACUCGGAGGAAGGUGGGGAUGACGUCAAAUCAUCAUGCCCCUUAUGUCUUGGGCUUCACGCAUGCUACAAUGGCCGGUACAAAGGGCUGCAAUACCGUAAGGUGGAGCGAAUCCCAAAAAGCCGGUCCCAGUUCGGAUUGAGGUCUGCAACUCGACCUCAUGAAGUCGGAGUCGCUAGUAAUCGCAGAUCAGCAACGCUGCGGUGAAUACGUUCCCGGGUCUUGUACACACCGCCCGUCAAGUCAUGAAAGUCGGUAACACCUGAAGCCGGUGGCCCAACCCUUGUGGAG